GUUCUCGCUUUGGCAACACAUACUAAAAUUGGAACAAUACAGAAAAGAUUAGCAUGGCCCCUGCACAAGGAUGGCAUGCAAAUUCAUGAAACAUUCCAUAUUAAA